UACCUUUCUCGGCCUUUUGGCUAAGAUCAAGUGUAGUAUCUGUUCUUAUCAGUUUAAUAUCUGAUAUGUGGGCCAUCGGCUCACACGAUAUUAACUCUAUUUUUUAAGGGAGGAAGCCCAUCAAGAUAGCUUGCUAUCUGGGCUUUCGCGAGUCGCCCAUGCGUUGCACUACUGCACGGGCCUGGCUCAACCCGCCAAUCUAUUAGUUAAACUGUUGUCUCUCUUUCUAAUUAGUUUCUUUCUGUCGGUUAAAAGUAAAGCUGAGAAAAUAAGACUAGAUUUCACGUGACAAAUGAUGUCGGACUGAAGCUACAAUGGCAUUCCUGGCUAAACAUUGAGCUAUGGCUACAAAAUUAAUGGUGAGUACAUCAUAUGGUGCUCAUCUGAUGCACAUCUCGAAGUCAAUUUGCAGAUUUCUCAAUCAGCCAGAGUUCUUUAGCCAUUGUAAUCAUGCUAGUCAACGGGUCUCCUAAGUUGCAUCUCAAUGCUAUCUUAUCAGUUAUCACUCUUUAUAAUUAAGUUACUGAUUAAGAUUUCUUGACCACAUAACAUCUUUCUUGAGUACUGGAUGCAUAAGUAUAUGCCCAUUGAUAAGUCUUCCCUUGAUAAAAUGUAAACUCUGCAAUUUACACCUGAUGAGUUCUGUUCUGAUGAUGUCCCUGGAGCAGUCCUGGAAGAGUUUCAGAGGUAGAAGGAGACAUCUCUUUGAGCGUCUAUGAUACAAAGAAAAGGAUACAUGAGAGAUAAAGAGCUGGAGGAAUUAGACUCUCGUCUUACAUCCAUCAUUGACAACAUAUGGCUAUCACCAAAUUCCACACAGAACAGGAAUGUGAAGCAACAAGUUGAGCAAAUAGGUGCAGUAGUGGUUACAAAUAGAUUGGAAGCCAAAUAUCGAAUUCUUUAGGGAAAUCCCUUUGUUACCAUCUACUGAAACAAACCAAGGCUUGUCGAAGUUACAUGUAGCCUUAAGGACCAAGAAAGGAUAUAGAUGCAAACAGAAUCAGAGCAAAAAUCGUUGGAAACAGCCUAUAGUCUAUACUCUGCAAAUGAGAUAGCAACACAACAUUGGAGGAAAAAGAAAGAAGACAACCUAAAUCUUGGAACUGCUUUGACUACAUUAAUUUCCCACAAGGAUUCAAAUGUAAACAUAAUAGCAGCUCAGAUUGUACUAAGGAAAGGGCCUAAUUCAAGCAUCAUUUUUAGUUCUCUGAGCAAGAAAGCUCCUCCAAUAUUUCUUUGAUGGUUUUUGUAUAUGUUUCCAUCUUUCUCCACUGGGUUCUUACAUAGUUACAUGUGUACAUAUGUAUGUGUUUUGUCUUCAUAUGUGACUAAAGAAGAAAGAUGCCUAAAGAGAAGAAAUCUAAAGUGUAUUUUACUGAAGUCCCACAUCGACGAGUUAGAGAACGUUGGUCAUAAAGUUUGCAGUAUAUAUAAAGAAUCUAGGCUCAACGUUCAAAUCAUACCUUUCUCGGCCUUUUGGCUAAGAUCAAGUGUAGUAUCUGUUCUUAUCAGUUUAAUAUCUGAUAUGUGGGCCAUCGGCUCACACGAUAUUAACUCUAUUUUUUAA